GACGAACGCUGGCGGCGUGCUUAACACAUGCAAGUCGAACGGAAAGGCCCUGCUUUUGUGGGGUGCUCGAGUGGCGAACGGGUGAGUAACACGUGAGUAACCUGCCCUUGACUUUGGGAUAACUUCAGGAAACUGGGGCUAAUACCGGAUAGGAGCUCCUGCUGCAUGGUGGGGGUUGGAAAGGUUCGGCGGUUGGGGAUGGACUCGCGGCUUAUCAGCUUGUUGGUGGGGUAGUGGCUUACCAAGGCUUUGACGGGUAGCCGGCCUGAGAGGGUGACCGGCCACAUUGUGACUGAGAUACGGCCCAGACUCCUACGGGAGGAAGCAGUGGGGAAUAUUGCACAAUGGGCGGAAGCCUGAUGCAGCAACGCCGCGUGCGGGAUGACGGCCUUCGGGUUGUAAACCGCUUUCGCCUGUGACGAAGCGUGAGUGACGGUAAUGGGUAAAGAAGCACCGGCUAACUACGUG
rnacentral:rRNA from 1 species